AGAGUUUGAUCCUGGCUCAGGAUGAACGCUAGCGACAGGCUUAACACAUGCAAGUCGAGGGGCAUCAUGAGGUAGCAAUACCUUGAUGGCGACCGGCGCACGGGUGAGUAACGCGUAUGCAACCUGCCCGAUACCGGGGUAUAGCCCAUGGAAACGUGGAUUAACACCCCAUAGUACUUUUAUCCUGCAUGGGAUAGGAGUUAAAUGUUCAAGGUAUCGGAUGGGCAUGCGUCCUAUUAGUUAGUUGGCGGGGUAACAGCCCACCAAGACGAUGAUAGGUAGGGGUUCUGAGAGGAAGGUCCCCCACAUUGGAACUGAGACACGGUCCAAACUCCUACGGGAGGCAGCAGUGAGGAAUAUUGGUCAAUGGACGUAAGUCUGAACCAGCCAAGUCGCGUGAGGGAAGACUGCCCUAUGGGUUGUAAACCUCUUUUAUAAGGGAAGAAUAAGUUCUACGUGUAGAAUGAUGCCUGUACCUUAUGAAUAAGCAUCGGCUAACUCCGUGCCAGCAGCCGCGGUAAUACGGAGGAUGCGAGCGUUAUCCGGAUUUAUUGGGUUUAAAGGGUGCGUAGGCGGUUUAUUAAGUUAGUGGUUAAAUAUUUGAGCUAAACUCAAUUGUGCCAUUAAUACUGGUAAACUGGAGUACAGACGAGGUAGGCGGAAUAAGUUAAGUAGCGGUGAAAUGCAUAGAUAUAACUUAGAACUCCGAUAGCGAAGGCAGCUUACCAGACUGUAACUGACGCUGAUGCACGAGAGCGUGGGUAGCGAACAGGAUUAGAUACCCUGGUAGUCCACGCC
rnacentral:rRNA from 1 species